rnacentral:rRNA from 1 species
GUUCAAAAGAGGAAAUGCUUGCGGUGGAUACCUAGGCACCCAGAGACAAGGAAGGGCGUAGCAAGUGACGAAAUGCUUCAGGGAGUUGAAAAUAAGCAUAGACCCGGAGAUUCCCAAAUAGGUGAACCUUUUGAACUACCUGCUGAAUCCAUGAGCAGGAAAGAGACAACCUAGCAAAUUGAAACAUCUUAGUAGCCAGAGGACAAGAAAGCCAAAGUGAUUCCUGUAGUAGCGACGAGCGAAAUGGGAGCAGCCUAAACCGUGAAAACGGGGUUGUGGGAGAGCAAUACAAGCGUUGUGCUGCUAGGCGAAGCGAUUGAGUGCCACACCCUAGAUGGCUAAAGUUCAGUAGCCGAAAGCAUCACUAGCUUACGCUCUGAGUCGACUAGCAUGGGGCAUGUGGAAUCCCGUGUGAAUCAGCAAGGACCACCUUGCAAGGCUAAAUACUUCUGGGUGACUGAUAGCGAAGUAGUACCAUGAGGGAAAGAUGAAAAGAACCCUUAGUGGGUUGUGAAAUAGAACGUGAAACCGUGCUGAGCUCCAAAGCAGUGGGAGGGGAAAGUGAUCUCUACACGCAUGCCUAUUGAAGAAUGAGCCGGUUACUCAUAGGCAAUGGCUUUGUUAAGGAAAUGGAACCCACCAGAGCUGUAGUGAAAGCGAGUGUUCAUAGGGCGAUUGUCGCUGCUUAUGGACCCAGACCUGGGUGAUCUAUUCAUGACCAUGAUGAAGCUUGGAUGAAACUAAGCAGAGGUUCGAACCGAAUGAUGAUGACGCAUCAACGGAUGAGUUGUGGUUAGGGUUGAAAUGCCACUCAAACCCAGAGCUAGCUGGUUCUCCCCAAAAUGCGUUGAGGCGUAGCAGUUGACUUGACAUCUAGGGGUAAAGCACUAUUUUGGUGCGGGCUAGCGAGCGGUACCAAAUCGAGGCAAACUCUAAAUACUAGAUAUGACCCAAAAAUAAUAGGGGUCAAGGUUGGCCAGUGAGACGAUGGAGGAUAACUAGAUAAGCUUCAUCGUCGAGAGGGAAACAACCCGGAUCACCAGCUAAGGCCCCUAAAUAACUGCUUAGUGAUAAAGGAGGUGGGGGUGGAAAGACAGCCAGGAGGUUUGCCUAGAAACAUGCACCCUUUAAAGAGUGCAUAAUAGCUUACUGAUCAAGCGCCCUUGCGCUGAACAUGAACUGGGCUAAGCAAUCUGCCAGAGCUUUGGGAUGUUAAAAUGCAUCAAUAGGGGAGUGUUCCGCCUUAAAGGGAAGCAAACGCGAAAGAGAGGGUCAACAAAGCGGAAGUGAGAAUGUUGGCUUUAGUAACGAAAACAUUGGUGAGAAUCCAAUGCCCCAAAAACCUAAGGUUUCCUCCACAAGGUUCAUCCACGAAGGGUGAGUUAGGGCCUAAGAUUAGGCCGAAAGGCAUAGUCGAUGGACAACAGGUCAAUAUUCCUGUACUACCCCUUGUUGGUACGGAGGGACGGAGUAGGCUAGGUUAGCCGAAAGAUGGUUAUAGGUUUAAGGACACAUAGUGAUCCUGUUUUUUAAGGGUAAGAAGCGGUAGAGAAGAUUCCUUGAGCCGAUGUCCGAGUACCAAGCACUGCAGCGUUGAAGUAUGAGCCUCGUGCACUAGCAAUGCUUCUCCAUGAGGCUCAUACCAGGCGCUACGGCGCUGAAGUAUGUAACCCAUGCCAGACUCCCAGGAAAAGCUCGAAUACCUUCAACAAAAGGGUACCUAUACCCGAAACCGACACAGGUGGGUAGGUAGAGAAUACCUAGGAACGCGAGACAAUUCUCUCUAAGGAACUCGGCAAAAUAGCCCUGUAACUUCAGGAGAAUGGGUGCUCCUUGCAAAAGGGGGUCGUAGUGACCAGGCCUGGGUGAUUGUUUACCAAAAACACAGGUCUCUGCAAAGUCGUAAGACCAUGUAUGGGGGCUAACGCCUGCCCAGUGUUGGAAGGUCAAGGAAGUUGGUGAACAGAUGACAGGGAAGCCGGUGACCGAAGCCCCGGUGAACAGCGGUCGUAACUAUAAUGGUCCUAAGGUAGUGAAAUUCCUUGUCGGGUAAGUUUCGACUCGUACGAAAGGUGUAACAAUCUGGGCACUGUCUCGGAGAGAGGCUCGGUGAAAUAGACAUGUCUGUGAAGAUGCGAACUACGUGCACCUGGACAAAAAGACCCUAUGAAGCUUUACUGUUCCCUAGGAUUGACUUUGGGCUUUUCCUGUGUAGCUUAGGUGGAAAGCGAAGAAGGCCCCCUUCCAAGGGCCCAAGCCAUCAGUGAGAUACCACUCUAGAAGAGCUUGGAUUUUAACCUUGUGUCAGACCCACGAGCCAAGGGACAGUCUUAGGUAGACAAUUUCUAUGGGGCGUAGGCCUCCCAAAAGGCAACGGAGGCAUGCAAAGGUUUCCUUGGGCCAGACGGACAUUGGUCCUCGAGUGCAAAGGCAGAAGGGAUCUUGACUUCAAGACUCACCGUCGAGUAGAGAUGAAAGUCGACCUUAGUGAUCCAACAGUGCCGAGUGGAAGGGUCAUCGCUCAAUGGAUAAAAGUUACUCUAGGGAUAAUAUGUUGAUCUUCCCCAAGAGUCCACAUCGACAGGAAGGUUUGGUACCUCGAUGUCGGCUCUUUGCCACCUAGAGUUGUAGAUUGUUCCAAAGAUUGGGUUGUUCACCCAUUAAUGCGGUACGUGAGCUGGGUUCUAAACAUCGUGAGACAGUUCGGUCAAUAUCUAGUGUGGGCGUUAGAGCACUGAGAGGACCUUUCCCUAGUGCGAGAGGACCGGGAAGGACGCACCUCUGGUGUACCAGUUAUUGUGCCUACGGUAAAUGCUGGGUAGCCAAGUGUGGAGAAGAUAACUACUGAAAGCAUAUAAGUAGUAAGCCCACCCCAAGAUGAGUGCUCUCUCCUCCGACUUCCCUAGAGCCUCCAGUAGCACAGCCGAGACAGCGACAGAUUCUCCACCCAUACAGGAUGGAGCGAUUGAAGUAUGAAAAUAGGAUAAGGUAGUGGCGAGACGAGCCAUUUAAAUAGGUGUCAAGUGGAAGUGCAGUGAUGUAUGCAGCUAAGGCAUCCUAACGAAUGAACGAUUUGAACCU